rnacentral:lncRNA from 1 species
GUGGUACAACUCUAUGUUUUGAUGAUAACAAGUAUUUAUUUGUGGAUGAACAACUAUGAUACUCUAAUGUUUGUCUUGAGUGUUUUGACAAACAGGUUCUGAUUCUGACACCAGAAGAUAUAUUCGUCAGAAGAUCAGAGGAUCUGAAGAUCAGAAGAUCAGAGGAUCAAAAGAUCUGAGGAUCAGAGGAUCAGAGGAUCAGAGGAUCAGAAGAUCAGAGGAUCAGAAGAUCUGAAGACCAGAAGCUCUGAGGGACCAGAGGCUCUGAAGGUUCAGAAGCUCUGAAGGUCCAGAAGCAGAAGUUACGAAGGUCAGAGGAUCCAAGCAUCCCUCUGACUCUGAUCACCAAGCUUCACAAGUUCCAACACGAAGCAUUCCUCUGAUCAGAAGUCAUUGGUUAAAGGCAAAGGUCUCUAUCGAGAAGUACAAGAGCAGUGUACUAUUCUGAAAAGCCUACCUACCAAGGUUCAGCCACAGCAGGUUCUGGAAGUUCCAGAAAUGCCCUCCAACGGUCAUAUUCUCUCAACAGAAAUAUCCUUUGCACCUUGGACUAUAAAAGGCUG